ACAGGUCCUCACACCUCUGAAGGGCUGCUUGAGAGUCUUGGCUUGGUUUUAGUGUUGAGGUUAGAAUCAGGUUUAGGUUAGGGUCAGGGUAAGGGGCUAUGGAAUGCAUCAUGUCAAUGACGGGUCCCCACGAGUGUAGUAAAACAAGGAUGGGUGUGUGUGUGUCUGCGCGCGCGCUCGAUGGCUUUGAUGUUUGAGGCGUAAUUGUGACGUGAUGAUUCUUUAUGACGAAUUCUGUUCUACAGUCAAUUUCUCACCUGAGCAGAGACAGUGAACAGAUCGAAAGAGACUUUCACCGAGAAAACUACGGCGAAAUAACUCACCAGAAUAAAGUACCCCAUUGUCUUUGAAUGGAUACUUCUGCUCUCGACAUGGAUAACAAGAUUCCAUCAGAUGAACUGGGAGAAUUGAGGUGCAGCGAUUUAGACGUUCCCCUGUUCACACCAAAUGACUUCGACCCAAUUAUCAAUUUACAUUUACUGGAUAUGACAGUUGAGCAGUGGAUGUUAUUGGCAGCUGGACAGGUAGACACUGCCUUGGCCGAUCUGCUAUCUCAAAUGUGUCAUGAGAUGGUAGAUGCGGUCAGUGUCGUAUUCCUGGAAGAAGUGAGACCCCAGGUUCUUAACUGGAUUACCCUGAAA